rnacentral:rRNA from 1 species
GAUGAACGCUAGCGAUAGGCCUAACACAUGCAAGUCGAGGGGCAUCACAUGAAGUAGCAAUACGGAUGGUGGCGACCGGCGCACGGGUGAGUAACACGUAUGCAACCUGCCUUCAACAAGGGGAUAACCCGUUGAAAGACGGACUAAUACCCUAUAACACAGGGGUCCCGCAUGGGAAUAUUUGUUAAAGGACAACCGGUUGAAGAUGGGCAUGCGUUCCAUUAGCUAGUUGGCGGGGUAACGGCCCACCAGGGCAACGAUGGAUAGGGGAACUGAGAGGUUUAUCCCCCACACUGGUACUGAGACACGGACCAGACUCCUACGGGAGGCAGCAGUGAGGAAUAUUGGUCAAUGGACGCAAGUCUGAACCAGCCACGUCGCGUGAAGGAAGACGGCCCUACGGGUUGUAAACUUCUUUUAUACGGGAAUAAAGUGCCCCACGCGUGGGGUUUUGCAUGUACCGUAUGAAUAAGGAUCGGCU